rnacentral:tRNA from 1 species
UAGAAAGUAAUAUAAGGGGAGUAUGGAGGGUUUUGAUCCCUCUAGUGCGGGUUCGAUUCCUGCCUUUCUAA